CCUACGGGCGGCAGCAGUGGGGAAUAUUGCACAAUGGGGGAAACCCUGAUGCAGCGACGCCGCGUGAGUGAAGAAGUAUUUCGGUAUGUAAAGCUCUAUCAGCAGGGAAGAAAAUGACGGUAACUGAUUAAGAAGCCCCGGCUAACUACGUGCCAGCAGCCGCGGUAAUAAGUAGGGGGCAAGCGUUAGCCGGAUUUACUGGGUGUAAAGGGAGCGAUGACGGCGGCACAAGUAUGGAGUGAAAUGCAGGGGAUUAACCCCGGAACUGCUUUGGAGACUGUGCAGCUAGAGGGCAGGAGAGGUAAGUGGAAUUCCUAGUGUAGCGGUGAAAUGCGUAGAUAUUAGGAGGAACACCAGUGGCGAAGGCGGCUUACUGGACUGUAACUGACGUUGAGGCUCGAAAGCGUGGGGAGCAAACAGGAUUAGAUACCCUGGUAGUC
rnacentral:rRNA from 1 species